rnacentral:rRNA from 1 species
UUGAAGGUGAAGUCGUAACAAGGUUUCCGUAGGUGAACCUGCGGAAGGAUCAUUACCACACCUAAAAACUUUCCACGUGAACCGUAUCAAAACUUAGUUGGGGGUCUCUUUCGGCGGCGGCUGCUGGCUUCAUUGCUGGCGGCUGCUGUUGGGAGAGCUCUAUCAUGGCGAGCGUUUGGGCUUCGGUCUGAACUAGUAGCUUUUUUAAACCCAUUCUUUAUAACUGAUUAUACUGUAGGGACGAAAGUCUCUGCUUUUAACUAGAUAGCAACUUUCAGCAGUGGAUGUCUAGGCUCGCACAUCGAUGAAGAACGCUGCGAACUGCGAUACGUAAUGCGAAUUGCAGGAUUCAGUGAGUCAUCGAAAUUUUGAACGCAUAUUGCACUUCCGGGUUAGUCCUGGGAGUAUGCCUGUAUCAGUGUCCGUACAUCAAACUUGGUUUUCUUCCUUCCGUGUAGUCGGUGGUGGAUGUGCCAGAUGUGAAGUGUCUUGCGGCUGGUCUUCGGAUCGGCUGUGAGUCCUUUGAAAUGUACUGAACUGUACUUCUCUUUGCUCCAAAAGCGUGGCGUUGCUGAUUGUGGAGGCUGCUUGCGUAGCCAGUCUGGCGACCAGUUUGUCUGCUGUGGCAUUAAUGGAGGAGUGUUCGAUUCGCGGUAUGGUUGGCUUCGGCUGAACAGACGCUUAUUAAAUAUUUCUUCAGCUGUGGUGGUAUGAGUUGGUGAACCGUAGCUAUGUGAGCUUGGCUUUUGAAUUGGCUUUGCUGUUGCGAAGUAGAGUGGCGGCUUCGGCUGUCGAGGGUCGAUCCAUUUGGGAACUUGUGUAUGCUUCGGCAUGCAUCUCAAUUGGACCUGAUAUCAGGCAAGAUUACCCGCUGAACUUAAGCAUAUCAAUAAGCCGGAGGAAAA